UCAUGACUGAACAUGAAACGCCCUGCGCGUCACUCUAAAGAUGAGUAUGGUUUUGAGCUCCAGCGUAUUGGUCUUACUGACUGCAUUUGUAAUUCUGGUCAUAAUACAAGAGGAUUGUAGCUCUUUUGUCCUUGCAGGAUGCGCUCCAUAUAGCGGAAGAGGACGCGGAAGACUCGGAGGCACUCCUGGAUAUAAUCGUAGUUGUGACUACGCUAAAGUAAGCUAACAUAAGUGGAUCGUCAGUCCCUUCAGUUGCCUUUGAGCUCGUACAUUCUUGUUCAUCAAGAACAUAAUGCAUUCAAAAUGGUUCUCCAAAGAUAUUUCCUUGAAUAGCGACAACUGCACGAACAGAAAGCACUUGUCUCAUUGAGGAGAAAAUUAUUUCCUUCUUUGUUAAAUAAAGUGGAUAAAUCUGCCCUAAUACACCAUCGUUCUGUAUA